CUCCUCUCUUGCCGCUUACGUUAGGUACUCUCCACACUAGGGUCGAAUCUUGCCGAGGACUUCCAAUCUGACGAGGCGCCUUCCAAGAAGAAAUCCAAUGAUUCCUCUCCGUUCUCUAUUUCUCAUGCAUCACAGCUGGCCUCGACAUCGGACCUGUUCCAGGAAUCAUGCUACCACACCACCAACUUUCUCUCUCCAGCAGAGUUUGGCUUGGUCCUGGGCUCUUGGCGAUCAACAGGAACGCCGCCGCUGUGGUUUCAUAUAUCAUACACUCCAGGCGGCACAACGCGAUGGUGGUUUCAGAUAUCUUACAGUCCAGGCAGGGCAAUGUGCGAUGGCGGUUCAGAUGCCGCAGGAGACACAUCAAGCAUGGGUAGAAGCAAGGAGUGGCUGGGGGUUUGAGUUGGAAGCCCCAGUCGGAAAUGGAUACAUAUCAGUUCACAUGCAAAGCUAUUGUCAACAAAGGGAGGUCUCCGUGUCCCAUGGGAAGCUCGAGAAGCUGGUGCCGACUCUAUGGCAACAACUUGAAUGUCGCGAGACAUGUGGUAGACAAACAACGACUGGAUGCUGACAUGCCCAUGUAGAUGGUGCAGACAUCGGCGAAUUAAGACCACUGUGAGAAGAAUCCUUCCAGGUUGUUGAACAAAACAGAGAUGACAUACUUUAGAAUCUGCAGCCAAGGACAGAAUGCAUCCACGCCAGUAUGAGAAAAAAGAUUGUGCUUUAGUUAUUGGAAUUGUUUUCCUUCUAUGUUCAUAUCAUCAUUAUAUUAAUUUAAGAAUUUUGAGUUCCACUAUGAAUAUAAAAUGAACUAAUGCAGUCACGACUCACGACACCUUAUUUGUCCCCCUGCUAUACACCUAUAUCACCAUACAUGCUUAAAUACAGGGCACUGCCUAUGGACAUGAAAGCAUGAAAAGUGCAAAUACUAAACUAC